GACGAACGCUGGCGGCGUGCUUAACACAUGCAAGUCGAACGGAAAGGCCCUGCUUUUGUGGGGUGCUCGAGUGGCGAACGGGUGAGUAACACGUGAGUAACCUGCCCUUGACUUUGGGAUAACUUCAGGAAACUGGGGCUAAUACCGGAUAGGAGCUCCUGCUGCAUGGUGGGGGUUGGAAAGUUUCGGCGGUUGGGGAUGGACUCGCGGGUUAUCAGCUUGUUGGUGGGGUAGUGGCUUACCAAGGCUUUGACGGGUAGCCGGCCUGAGAGGGUGACCGGCCACAUUGGGACUGCGAUACGGCCCAGACUCCUACGGGAGGCAGCAGUGGGGAAUAUUGCACAAUGGGCGGAAGCCUGAUGCAGCAACGCCGCGUGCGGGAUGACGGCCUUCGGGUUGUAAACCGCUUUCGCCUGUGACGAAGCGUGAGUGACGGUAAUGGGUAAAGAAGCACCGGCUAACUACGUG
rnacentral:rRNA from 1 species